GAUGAACGCUAGCGGGAGGCCUAAUACAUGCAAGUCGAACGGUAACAGGGUAGCAAUACCGCUGACGAGUGGCGCACGGGUGAGUAACACGUACACAACCUGCCUUAUACUGGGGGAUAGCCCUGGGAAACUAGGAUUAAUACCCCAUAAUAUAUUGAAAAGGCAUCUUUUUAAUAUUAAAACUCCGGUGGUAUACGAUGGGUGUGCGUCUGAUUAGCUAGUUGGCGAGGUAACGGCUCACCAAGGCAACGAUCAGUAACUGGUCUGAGAGGAUGAUCAGUCACACGGGCACUGAGAAACGGGCCCGACUCCUACGGGAGGCAGCAGUAGGGAAUAUUGGACAAUGGGCGCAAGCCUGAUCCAGCCAUCCCGCGUGAAGGAUUAAGGCCCUCUGGGUUGUAAACUUCUUUUUUUUGGGAAUAAAAACCGGAAUUCAUUUCGGCUUGAAGGUACCAGAAGAAUAAGCACCGGCUAACUCCGUGCCAGCCGCCGCGGUAACAC
rnacentral:rRNA from 1 species